rnacentral:lncRNA from 1 species
CUAUUUCUAAUAAAACUUUAACAGUAAAAAAAAAAUUCUGGUAUCAUUUACCAUCUACAAACCAAAGGAGAGAGUAAAAUUCACCAACCUACCUGCACCUGCACCUGCACCUGCACAUGGGUUUUGCAGUGUGCUGUUGGAGUUUUUCUUACUAUAAUACUAUUAGAACGAGACAUGGCAGUAGAGACAGACAGCUGCAGCCUACAGCCUACAGCAUAGUAGUAAUAAGAGUAGUAUUAGUUAAUACAUAGAAAUUCUAAGCAGGAGGAGUAUUUUCUCAAAGAAUACCGUUAGUUAUGAAAUGACAGAACAACAAAACCCUCACCUUUAUGAAUUAGUAGUAGCAUUUAUGGGUAAUAUUUAAUUAAUUAAUUAAUUAAUACAAUACUGAAAAAAAUAUAUAUAUAUAUAUAAAUAUAUAUAAUACGAAUUUAGGGUUGAUGCAUGGUAGCAAUGUUGCACGCUGUUCUAACGGGUAGUAAACGGUAAUAUUUGUUGGGACAUAGGUUAGUUUGGUGCACCAAACAAAAUUGACACCCAUUAAUCAUUGGAUAAGGACCGCACCAAAGUGUUGGCUUCCAUCAUCUUAAGAAGAAGUUUUUCUAUUCGGACAUUAGAAAUUAAUCACACAAAAUUUAGGUGGUAUUUAAUAAAAUUGACUAAUUAAAAUAUGAAUUGAGUGAAUUAGUAUAUGAACUUAAAAAAAUUAUUUG